GGAGGAUUAGCUCAGUUGGUUAGAGCAUCUGCCUUACAAGCAGGGGGUCAUAGGUUCGAGUCCUAUAUUCUCCA
rfam:Clostridium sp. CAG:1193 genomic scaffold, scf57